AUGUAUGCACCCAAGAAUCAAGGAUGAAUGGGCUUUCAUGAUAUCCACUAUUUCAAUUUGGCUACGCUCAGUAAACAGGCUUGGUGUCUCAUUGAGAAUUGAGAUUCUCUUUGUGCUACCAUUUUGAGAGUCAAAUACUAUCCUGAGAGUGACUUGUUCAGCACUAAUCUAAAGCAGGGCUCUUCCUUCACCUAGCAAAGUAUUAUGGAGGGUGUGAGUUCCCUAAAACAUGGUCACAUUUGGCAAGUGGGGAAUGAUCAAAAUAUAAAUAUUUGGGAGGAUGCCUGGAUUCCAAAUUGCCCAAACCGUAAACUUAUUACUCCUAAUGGAGGUCAGUUGAUAUAUAAGGUAGCAGAUUCGAUUGAUCAUGUUCUUAAUAGAUGGCAUGAAGAUCUUCUCAGGCAGACCCUAUGGACUAUCGAUGUUCAGCGAGUACUCGUGAUCCCUAUAUCGCAACAUGAUAUGCCAGAUUUCGUAGCUUGGAUUUUUUUUUAA
rnacentral:rRNA from 1 species